GAUGAACGCUGGCGGCGUGCCUAAUACAUGCAAGUCGAGCGAACAGACGAGGAGCUUGCUCCUUUGACGUUAGCGGCGGACGGGUGAGUAACACGUGGGUAACCUACCUAUAAGACUGGGAUAACUUCGGGAAACCGGAGCUAAUACCGGAUAAUAUUUCGAACUGCAUGGUUCGAUAGUGAAAGAUGGCUUUGCUAUCACUUAUAGAUGGACCUGCGCCGUAUUAGCUAGUUGGUAAGGUAACGGCUUACCAAGGCAACGAUACGUAGCCGACCUGAGAGGGUGAUCGGCCACACUGGAACUGAGACACGGUCCAGACUCCUACGGGAGGCAGCAGUAGGGAAUCUUCCGCAAUGGGCGAAAGCCUGACGGAGCAACGCCGCGUGAGUGAUGAAGGUCUUCGGAUCGUAAAACUCUGUUAUUAGGGAAGAAUAAACGUGUAAGUAACUGUGCACGUCUUGACGGUACCUAAUCAGAAAGCCACGGCUAACUACGUG
rnacentral:rRNA from 1 species